CUAGCAUUCCAUCCUCAGGAUAAUAACAUCAUAGCCAUUGGAAUGGAGGAUUCAACUAUACAUAUCUACAAUGUUCGAGUGGAUGAGGUGAAAUCAAAAUUGAAAGGUCACCAGAGGAGAAUUACUGGUUUGGCUUUUUCCACCAAUCUCAAUAUCUUGGUUUCUUCAGGUGCUGAUGCUCAACUUUGUGUCUGGAGUGUUGACACAUGGGAGAAAAGGAAAUCAGUUACGAUUCAAAUUCCAGCAGGAAAGGCACCUAAUGGUGACACUUGGGUGCAGUUCCACUCUGAUCAGACCCGCUUGCUGGUGGUACAUGAGACCCAGUUAGCAAUGUAUGAUGCCUCUAAGAUGGAACGUGUCCGGCAGUGGGUACCUCAAGAUGCAUUAUCUGCACCCCUAUCCUAUGCGGCAUUCUCUUGCAACAGCCAAUUAAUUUAUGCUGCAUUUUGUGAUGGUAAUGUUGGGGUAUUUGAUGCUGAUAGCUUGAGACUAAGGUGCCGAAUUGCUUCAUCAGCAUACUUGUCCCAGGCAGUCUUGAAUGGAAGCCAAUCCCUUUACCCUCUUGUUGUUGCUGCACAUCCC
rnacentral:misc_RNA from 1 species